rnacentral:rRNA from 1 species
GUGGUCGGUGUACAGGUGGUGCAUGGCUGUCGUCAGCUCGUGUCGUGAGAUGUUGGGGUUAAAAAAACGCAACGAGCGCAACCCUUGUUCUGUGUUGCCAGCAUGCCCUUCGGGGUGAUGGGGACUCACAGGAGACUGCCGGGGUCAACUCGGAGGAAGGUGGGGACGACGUCAAGUCAUCAUGCCCCUUAUGUCUUGGGCUGCACACGUGCUACAAUGGCAGGUACAAUGAGCUGCGAAGCCGUGAGGCGGAGCGAAUCUCAAAAAGCCUGUCUCAGUUCGGAUUGGGGUCUGCAACUCGACCCCAUGAAGUCGGAGUUGCUAGUAAUCGCAGAUCAGCAUUGCUGCGGUGAAUACGUUCCCGGGCCUUGUAC